AGUAUUCUAAGGUGAAGUGGUA
rnacentral:piRNA from 1 species